rnacentral:ncRNA from 4 species
GACCUCAAAUCAGGUAGGACUACCC